rnacentral:rRNA from 1 species
ACGGAGGGUGCAAGCGUUAAUCGGAAUUACUGGGCGUAAAGCGCGCGUAGGUGGUUGAGUAAGCGAGAUGUGAAAGCCCCGGGCUUAACCUGGGAACGGCACUUCGAACUGCUCGGCUAGAGUGUGGUAGAGGGUAGUGGAAUUUCCUGUGUAGCGGUGAAAUGCGUAGAUAUAGGAAGGAACACCAGUGGCGAAGGCGGCUACCUGGACCAACACUGACACUGAGGUGCGAAAGCGUGGGGAGCAAACAGG